rnacentral:rRNA from 1 species
ACUGCAAGUCGAGGGGCAGCGCGGAUAGCAAUACCUGGCGGCGACCGGCAAACGGGUGCGGAACACGUACGCAACCUUCCCAAAACUGGUGAAUAGCCCUCCGAAAGGAGGAUUAAUACACCGUACCAUAAUAGAGAGGCAUCUCUUUAUUAUUAUAGUAGCAAUACGGUUUUGGAUGGGCGUGCGCCUGAUUAGGUAGUUGGCGGGGUAACGGCCCACCAAGCCUACGAUCAGUAACUGGUGUGAGAGCACGACCAGUCACACGGGCACUGAGACACGGGCCCGACUCCUACGGGAGGCAGCAGUAAGGAAUAUUGGUCAAUGGACGCAAGUCUGAACCAGCCAUGCCGCGUGAAGGAUGAAGGUCCUCUGGAUUGUAAACUUCUUUUAUCUGGGACGAAAAAAGCUCAUUCUUGAGCACUUGACGGUACCAGAGGAAUAAGCACCGGCUAACUCCGUGCCAGCAGCCGCGGUAAUACGGAGGGUGCAAGCGUUAUCCGGAUUUACUGGGUUUAAAGGGUGCGUAGGUGGGCAGGUAAGUCAGCGGUGAAAUCUCCGAGCUUAACUCGGAAACUGCCAUUGAUACUAUCUGUCUUGAAUAUCCUGGAGGUGAGCGGAAUAUGUCAUGUAGCGGUGAAAUGCUUAGAUAUGACAUAGAACACCAAUUGCGAAGGCAGCUCACUACGGGGUCAUUGACACUGAGGCACGAAAGCGUGGGGAUCAAACAGGAUUAGAUACCCUGGUAGUCCACGCCCUAAACGAUGGAUACUCGACAUACGCGAUACACUGUGUGUGUCUGAGCGAAAGCAUUAAGUAUCCCACCUGGGAAGUACGAUCGCAAGAUGAAACUCAAAGGAAUUGACGGGGGUCCGCACAAGCGGUGGA